rnacentral:pre_miRNA from 1 species
GGGGAGGAGUGCAGGAUCUUGGGCUGUGUCCCCGGCGCCCUGUGCUCCCGGGCAGCACUGUUGGAAUCGCACUCUGGGUGGCACAGCUCCCU